UAGCCUCUAAAGGAAGGAUGUCUCUUGGGUGAAGGUUGCUUCUGAAAAGGAGUGCUCUGUAGUUAGAGUCCCUGCCACUGUUUGGAAGGAAAUCAGGAUUCUGUCACCAGAGAAUUUUUGGAUGAAGUGCUUUUGUAAGUCUGACAACUUUAUCAAACAACGCAUUCGAGAAGUCAAGGGUUGCUGCUGUCACCAUAGGCCUCUGAGCCUGCUUUCAAAGACCUACAACUUUCUGUCUCUACUGAAGCCAGAGUAGAAGCUGACAAGACAAAGCUGUAUUUCCUUCUUUGAUUAGCUGCUUCUUGGAUGCUCAACACUUGCUCUUUUUCACCCUGCCUUUGUGCAUUCAUCUCUGAAUAUAAAUUCUGUAUCACAAAUAAAUAAUCCCACUCUGAAUGAGUAUGCCUGUUUUGGAACAUCUCACUUUGGGAGAGGUAAGUCUCGUUGCAAAUAAUGAAGUGAACUACUGGUCUGUAUUUAAAAUGAAGCUAAGAAAUAAUGUGGCUACCUAUGGCAGUCACUCCAAAAGAAAUGCCUUGAAUUUAUUUACACGGAAAUUAUAACAAAGAGCUCAGUAACUCUACUUGACAGCAAAUUCUCAGCUA